rnacentral:rRNA from 1 species
UACAGAGGGGGCCAGCGUUAUUCGGAAUUAUUGGGCGUAAAGGGCGCGUAGGCGGCCAUGCGUGUCUUCCGUGAAAUCCCUCGGCUCAACCGAGGAACUGCGUCCGAUACUGGUGGGCUUGAAUCCGGGAGAGGGAUGUGGAAUUCCAGGUGUAGCGGUGAAAUGCGUAGAUAUCUGGAGGAACACCGGUGGCGAAGGCGGCAUCCUGGACCGGUAUUGACGCUGAGGCGCGAAAGCUAGGGUAGCAAACGGG